rnacentral:lncRNA from 1 species
CUCAAACUCACUGUAUUCAUUCCAGCCUCAGGAACUUUGUACCUGUUGUUUUCUGACAAAAUGCAGAAUACAAGCAAACCCUUUAAAUGAAGAACUCAACCUUUCUCACAUAAAAACACUUAUUUGAGAGCCAAAUUCAGUAAAUGACAAUAAUAGUAAAACUCAUUACCUGGUAUAAUUAUGUACCAGACAUUGGACUAAACACUUAGAUAUAGUAACUCAUUGAAUUCUCAUGAAAACCCUAUGAGAUAAUAAGCACUAUUAAAUGGAAUCUUAUUAAUAGGAUCAUGGAAGAGGUUAAUCAUCCAGACCCAGGCUGCUCAGAAUUGGGGGAGCAGAACUAGGACUCAGCCAGUCAGGCCCCACGGUUCAUGCGUUGCCCACAGACCCACCGUGCGAUGCAACACGUGGCCUGUGGCUAUGCUCUCCAGGCUUGGAUGGGCUUCAGCAGCUCUCAGCCCCAGUAGAGAACUCUGUGUACUUUCUGCCAGAAGUAUUAAUAAUGAAUACACAGAAAAAUCCUUACAUAUUCUCCUUUUUGUCAUGUUUUCACCAGGCAACACAGAAAGCCUAUCUAUCGCCAGAGGCAGCAGUUGAAUGGAAGUGGGAAGCAGCUAAGGAGGAGGAAGAGUCCUGCUCUGUGUUCGUUCCGUUCAUGCCAUUACACUGCUGGAUUCUAAGAGGCUUGCAUCUUCCAACUUGUCAUCAGCGGGCACGCAAGAGCAAGGGCACUGAUGGUCCUUUAGGGUGAAUACCACAAGAAGUGCUUUGAAGGACUUUGUUUAUCAGGAAAGAAAAUGGUUUGCCCCUCUCUGAAAACAUUGGGUGCGUCAAUAGAGGAAACUCUGAGCUGAAAUUCAGGAGAGCCUGGGACUUGGCAUGGCUCUAGGCUGGUGUGGGCAUGAACAACUCUCUCGCUGAAGUCUCUAGACUUCAGUCACGCAUCCUGCAGGUGGCAGAGCUGGAUGUGAUGGGAGGUUUUUAGCCUUUGCUCUUGUCCAUGGCGGUCCCAGGUGACUGCAGCCUCGGGACUGUGGAUCAGGUGACAUGGAUGCCAUCAACACCAGCCACCAGGGAGGUACCUGGCUCAUGAGUCCUCCAUGUCUUGGGCACAGUAGCCAUGUCUCUGACUCAAGGCAGCUCAGGGGGACUCUCAGUCCUUGAACACUAAGAAAGAGCAGUACUCCUUCCCGUGGACCACUGGGUGCCAAGUUACCCCGGGUGGCAGGAGUGGCAUCUGAGGAUGAAGCCAACAUCAGAGAAAGCAGGAGGCAGACUAAAGAGACAGAAUGCCUGCUGUUCUCAUUUGAGUGCCUGCCUGCAGCUAUGCCUGAAGCUAGUCCUACGCCUGGACUUUCUGUUACCGAGCUACUGUCAUUUGUAAGCAAUAUCAUCCUGACAAAUACAGAGGCCCAUGGGGGUGGGGGCAAAGCAAGACGGGGAGGCAGGUGGUGGAAGGGGAAAAAAGAGGGGAAGAGAUUGAGAAGAGGGAAGGGCUCCAAGCUCAGAGAGUCAUGCUGUCCCGGGAUCUGGUUCACAUAUUGGGUUUACAUGUAAGAUGUGAUGUGCAAAAGAAUUAGCUAGAAGUGAAAACAAAAACCACUAGAGGAGGUGAUUCAAGGGAACUUGUGAUCUGCCCUUCUGGUCCACUGAGGAUAAGGCAAGCAGAAUGCCACAGAAAUGCUUCUAAUUAAGGUAUAAAAAGGAAGUAGAAAACUAGACAACAAAAUCGGCAUUUCCAGUCUGGUGUC